UCGAAAAGCGCUUUUAGUCCCUUCCGCUAAUGGCAUUGAAGGAAAGGCCACUGGCGGAAAGUCUUUCCGUGGGGCCAAAAUUUGUCAAAAAAGUUAGCCAGGGCCAGUGUGGCAAAAAAUUCCCACGUUCACCGCCGCAGACCGUCUCCCGAGGGCCCUCCGCCGCCUCCCAACCUCCCUCUGCGGCCGCAGACCGCCUCCCGAUCUCCAUCCGCCGCCGCGUCCGGUGCUGCGGCGGCCGCGGCCACCGAACAGGUGUGGCACCGGCGGCGAUGCUGAUGAGCGGAUGCCCGGCGACCGGACAAGACCUCACGCAGCUGCUGGACGCGAGCCCCAGGAACAGAGUACGCCAUCUCCUGCCUCCUGUUGCUGUCAGCGAGGAAGUUCUGCAAGAAGCUGAAGAAGCUCUCCGAGAUGGACGUCGCCGGCGUGCGGCACGACGCCCUGAACCUCUCCACCGUCGCUGGGUGGAGAGCGGCGGCGGCUGCGCGGGCUGGGCGGAGACGAGGAGGGUGCCGAGGUCGCCGGCGCGGACUGGGUGGCAUUCGGCGGCGGCGCACUGGACGAGGGCAAGGACUGCGGAGGGCGCCGCCGGUGAUUCAGAGGGUGGCGGAUCGGGAUCAACUCUGGGAAGGAGAAAUCUGAUGCGGAGUACGUUUUUUUUUCUUUUUCUUUUAAUGUGAAAAGUCCAUCAUGCCCUUCCUUAAUACUCGCUGUUAGGUAGUACAGGAGAAACGUUCUAUCUGAAACAUGUCGCCGUAGACAAUAAUUGUUCAGCAAAUAACCAACUGCGUCUCACAAACGACACGAGCUGUUCGACAAACAUAACAUAAUUAACAUGACAGCAUAGCCAUCUAAUUAAGUACUCCAAAACAUGCCAGUUUAGACGAUGGUUAUCCGGCCAGGAUACCGAUGAAGGCGCUCAAGUGCCCGGGAAAUGUGUUCCGGUAACAUGCUCCCGAGGAAUACCAGAUGCAUCAGCUACAACCGUUUUACCGAUAUCGGCAGCGGCUAUAUUCUUCUUGAUUGAAGCAAAUAGCUUCUUAUGGUGCCGAUAAAUUAAACCAUUCACAUGAGCAUGCCUCUUAAGUGCAUGAUAACCUGGCAACGGAUAGGAGCCUUUCAUCACAGUCUGAGUAAACGCAAAGGUUACCUUUGCAUAAUCUUCAGCACAUUUUCCAGCUGCAGCUACCUCGAGUCGUUCUUCUUCACUUAAAAGUUCCAAGUUAUAAGGCUCUGUCGAUUCAUGGUACCUCCAAGGGUUUGCUUGAAUCUUGCCUGCCGCUUCACUAACAAUUGUAUAGUUUGAAAUCAUACAUCUUCUGUAAGGAUUCCCAGCAGUCCAGAGUCAUCAUCUGUUUUAAAACAGCUUGAGUAGUAGUAAUCAGAACUUUACCAGCAGGAGCUGCUUUUGUUCGGAUAGCGAAAACUGCAGGUAUCGCAUAACGCCCAACUUUUCUCUGAAGAAGCUUCAUUGGCAUCUCAACACCGAUCCAUUGCAGAGCAGGACCGUAGAGAUCCUUCCCUGUCAGGAAUCCCACAUGCUCCCAGUGGUUCGGAACGCAAACUCAUGGAGAAACGGUAGGAAGCAGGCAAGCUUCCAAGCAUCAGAAAGGUACAUAUGGAUCAGCGGCCUUCAGCUGUGCUAGUGCCUCAUCGGUGAGAAAUGCCUUGUGAUGUUGCCGGAUGUAUACAAGAGCCUGUGGUGGUACAGGGUAUCCAUGAGCAUACGCGCUAAGUAGCUUCCUAGUGUGAACCUUUCUCGUCUCAGUUAGGUACACGGACACGGUCCCAGCAGCAUUAAUCUCGAGAAUUGUCGCAAGCUCGGGGGAGUUCAUGUAGACAGGGAGAAUCAUGUUUGGCGUCCUGGAAAAAUUGGAUUGCCUUAGUUGUACACUUUGGAUGAAAUUUAUAUAUCUAUACAUGGAUAUUCGAAAACAAGGAAAUGCAUUUUGUCAGUAAAGAAUGCCACCACAUGAAGAACAAUUUUGUUAAGCAUGAGAUAUUAAUUUGAAAUAGGUAAAUAACUAAGGCUUUGUUUGGAUGUAGAUAUUGAGUAAAUAUAAUUAGGAGGCAGAAAUUACAAGAGUGACUAAGAGAGCGCCUAAUAUUUUUCUCCAUAACCAUUAGAUGGACAGUUGUG